CGUAGGGUGCGAGCGUUAAUCGGAAUUACUGGGCGUAAAGCGUGCGCAGGCGGUUUUGUAAGACAGGCGUGAAAUCCCCGGGCUCAACCUGGGAACUGCGCUUGUGACUGCAAGGCUAGAGUACGGCAGAGGGGGUGGAAUUCCACGUGUAGCAGUGAAAUGCGUAGAGAUGUGGAGGAACACCAAUGGCGAAGGCAGCCCCCUGGGUCGAUACUGACGCUCAUGCACGAAAGCGUGGGUAGCAAACAGGAUUAGAUACCCUGGUAGUCCACGCCUAAACGAUGUCAACUAGGUGUUGGGUGGGUAAAAACCAUUUAGUACCGGAGCUAACGCGUGAAGUUGACCGCCUGGGGAGUACGGCCGCAAAGGUUA
rnacentral:rRNA from 1 species